rfam:Triticum aestivum genome assembly, contig: Triticum_aestivum_CS42_TGACv1_scaffold_642198_T_7AS-0.115688_7AL-0.113836
CACAUACUCCCUCCGUCCCAAAAUUCUUGUCUUACAUUUGUCUAGAUACGGAUGUAUCAAGUCAUGCUUUAGUAUUAGAUACGGACUUGAUACAAAACGUGACUUGAUACAUCCGUAUCUAGACAAGUCUAAUGCAAGAAUUUUGGGACGGAGGGAGUACAUA